rnacentral:rRNA from 1 species
UACGUAGGGUGCGAGCGUUGCCCGGAUUUAUUGGGCGUAAAGGGCGCGUAGGCGGUUUGCCAAGUCAGGGGUGAAAUCCUGCAGCUCAACUGUAGAAGUGCCUUUGAUACUGGCGAACUCGAGGGAGGUAGGGGUGCGUGGAACUUCUGGUGGAGCGGUGAAAUGCGUUGAUAUCAGAAGGAACGCCGGUGGCGAAAGCGACGCACUGGACCUUUUCUAACGCUGAGGCGCGAAAGCUAGGGGAGCAAACGGG